rnacentral:rRNA from 1 species
AAGGGGAGCAAUCCCUGAGUAAAGUGGCGCACGGGUGAGUAACACGUGACUAACCUACCCUGGAGUGGGGGAUAACUGAGGGAAACCUUAGCUAAUACCGCAUAAUACCCAAGGGUCAAAGGAGCAAUUCGCUCUGGGAGGGGGUCGCGGCCGAUUAGUUAGUUGGCGGGGUAACGGCCCACCAAGACGAUGAUCGGUAUCCGGCCUGAGAGGGCGCACGGACACACUGGAACUGAAACACGGUCCAGACUCCUACGGGAGGCAGCAGUGGGGAAUUUUGCGCAAUGGGGGAAACCCUGACGCAGCAACGCCGCGUGGAGGAUGAAGUCCCUCGGG